AUUGAACGCUGGCGGCAUGCUUUACACAUGCAAGUCGAACGGCAGCGCGGGCUUCGGCCUGGCGGCGAGUGGCGAACGGGUGAGUAAUGCAUCGGAACGUGCCCAGUAGUGGGGGAUAGCGCGGGGAAAGCCGGGUUAAUACCGCAUACGACCUGAGGGUGAAAGCGGGGGAUCGAAAGGCCUCGCGCUAUUGGAGCGGCCGAUGUCGGAUUAGCUAGUUGGUGGGGUAAAGGCUUACCAAGGCGACGAUCCGUAGCUGGUCUGAGAGGACGACCAGCCACACUGGAACUGAGACACGGCCCAGACUCCUACGGGAGGCAGCAGUGGGGAAUAUUGGACAAUGGGGGCAACCCUGAUCCAGCCAUGCCGCGUGCGUGAAGAAGGCCUUCGGGUUGUAAAGCGCUUUUGUUCGGGAAGAAAUCCACUAGGCUAAUACCCCGGGGGGAUGACGGUACCGGAAGAAUAAGCACCGGCUAACUACGUG
rnacentral:rRNA from 1 species